rnacentral:rRNA from 1 species
GAUGAACGCUAGCGGCAGGCUUAAUACAUGCAAGUCAAGGGGGUAGCAAUACAACCGGCGCACGGGUGAGUAACGCGUACACAAACAUGCCAUAUACUGGGGUAUAGCUUUGGGAAACUGAAGGUAAUCCCCCAUAACAUUGCGAGAGGGCAUCUGAAUUGCAAUUAAAGUUUCGGCGGUAUAUGAUUGGUGUGCGUUUGAUUAGCUAGUUGGUAGGGUAACGGCCUACCAAGGCGACGAUCAAUAGCUGGCGUGAGAGCGCGACCAGCCACACUGGAACUGAGACACGGUCCAGACUCCUACGGGAGGCAGCAGUAGGGAAUAUUGGACAAUGGAGGAAACUCUGAUCCAGCCAUGCCGCGUGAUAGAUGAAGGCCCUCUGGGUUGUAAAUAAUCUUUUAUCUGGGAAGAAACUCCUCU